CUUUCCAGGCCUGGUGUCAGCCCCAGUUCCCUCUCAGCACUUCUCAGCACUGCACCCUGGCAGCCGUCAUCAGCGACGCACAGUUAUACACCAGCAGGGUCUUUUGUGAAGUUCCUUUGCACCAAGCCAAGAGCGUUUCCUAACACAGAGUGUGGCCUUGCAUUUGUCUUCGGCAGAGCCAAGCAUUUCUGCCACAUCACAAAUAGGUCGGAGACCUCUGGUGCAGGCCGGAUUAAAAGCCUGGAGACAGCCCACCGCUGCCAUUUCUCACAAAGUGGUUUGGACCACUCCCAAAGGACUCUGGUUGCAAGGCCAAUUUUGUGAUCUGAGUUGUCAUAUGAUAUUGUAUCUAUUGUCGUGUUUGUUAUUUACUGUUGGUCCUUAUUAAGAUCACUGUUAUUAUCCACAGCAGCAAUGUGCCCCAAGCUAUGUAAGAGGUAUUAUAAUGUGUCCAAACAACAAAAGCUCUCAACGGGGAACUUCCAGAUGAAAGACAUAGGACUGCACAGGCCAAAACAAUGGGGACGGAUGCAGGGUAGUCAUACACAGAGGGUUAGGUGAUUACUGCAAGAGGAAGUGCUUUGAAGAACAGGUGGGUAUGAGGAGGUUUUUGAAAGUGGAGAAGGAUGUUAUGUUAUUGCAAACAUGUUAUUGUUUGAGCUUAGUGGAUAAUUCAACAACAUUAAAAAAAAAUAGAAAGGCACGAUUGGUCCUAAAACUCUAAGACGAACUGAAAGACACAGAAAGCAUGUAGGAGAGACAACGGUUUCAUUGCAGUUGGUUUAAAUACCAAAUGGUAAGGAAAGACUUGGCCAGUACUUACCUUUGAUUGUAAUGCAUGGGUCAAAUAUCAGCUCGCCUCUGCUCAAUUAGUGGUCCUGCCAGUGUCCGUGUGGGAUCCUUGAGCUCAUGCCUCUGCAUCAGUAGGGUAUUCUGGGACCCUCGAGAGGCCCCUAGAAACAGAAAUAUUAGCUGAGUUUCUGGAGAUGAGGCCCUGGAAUGAGCUGAGGUGGCGCUGUAUCUUGGUGUAAGUGAGCUAAUUUUCCUGAACUAUUUCUGGGCUGUGUUUUGAAAACAGGAAUUGAACAUAGAUGAUGACCUGAGAUCAUGACAAAUAUUCAGAUUUCAUACCAAAUUCAGCAGGUCAUGCCCACCGCAGCCCCAGGGUGACUGCCAGGUAGACGCA
rnacentral:lncRNA from 1 species